rnacentral:rRNA from 2 species
GAUCAGCGGCGGACGGGUGAGUAACACGUGGGCAACCUGCCUGUAAGACUGGGAUAACUUCGGGAAACCGGAGCUAAUACCGGAUAAUCCUUUUCCUCUCAUGAGGGAAAGCUGAAAGACGGUUUCGGCUGUCACUUACAGAUGGGCCCGCGGCGCAUUAGCUAGUUGGUGAGGUAACGGCUCACCAAGGCGACGAUGCGUAGCCGACCUGAGAGGGUGAUCGGCCACACUGGGACUGAGACACGGCCCAGACUCCUACGGGAGGCAGCAGUAGGGAAUCUUCCGCAAUGGACGAAAGUCUGACGGAGCAACGCCGCGUGAGCGAUGAAGGCCUUCGGGUCGUAAAGCUCUGUUGUCAGGGAAGAACAAGUAUCGGAGUAACUGCCGGUACCUUGACGGUACCUGACCAGAAAGCCACGGCUAACUACGUGCCAGCAGCCGCGGUAAUACGUAGGUGGCAAGCGUUGUCCGGAAUUAUUGGGCGUAAAGCGCGCGCAGGCGGUUCCUUAAGUCUGAUGUGAAAGCCCCCGGCUCAACCGGGGAGGGUCAUUGGAAACUGGGGAACUUGAGUGCAGAAGAGGAGAGCGGAAUUCCACGUGUAGCGGUGAAAUGCGUAGAGAUGUGGAGGAACACCAGUGGCGAAGGCGGCUCUCUGGUCUGUAACUGACGCUGAGGCGCGAAAGCGUGGGGAGCGAACAGGAUUAGAUACCCUGGUAGUCCACGCCGUAAACGAUGAGUGCUAAGUGUUAGAGGGUUUCCGCCCUUUAGUGCUGCAGCUAACGCAUUAAGCACUCCGCCUGGGGAGUACGGCCGCAAGGCUGAAACUCAAAGGAAUUGACGGGGGCCCGCACAAGCGGUGGAGCAUGUGGUUUAAUUCGAAGCAACGCGAAGAACCUUACCAGGUCUUGACAUCCUCUGACAACCCUAGAGAUAGGGCGUUCCCCUUCGGGGGACAGAGUGACAGGUGGUGCAUGGUUGUCGUCAGCUCGUGUCGUGAGAUGUUGGGUUAAGUCCCGCAACGAGCGCAACCCUUGAUCUUAGUUGCCAGCAUUAAGUUGGGCACUCUAAGGUGACUGCCGGUGACAAACCGGAGGAAGGUGGGGAUGACGUCAAAUCAUCAUGCCCCUUAUGACCUGGGCUACACACGUGCUACAAUGGAUGGAACAAAGGGCAGCGAAGCCGCGAGGUGAAGCCAAUCCCAUAAAACCAUUCUCAGUUCGGAUUGCAGGCUGCAACUCGCCUGCAUGAAGCCGGAAUCGCUAGUAAUCGCGGAUCAGCAUGCCGCGGUGAAUACGUUCCCGGGCCUUGUACACACCGCCCGUCACACC